AGGAAUAUUGGUCAAUGGGCGAGAGCCUGAACCAGCCAAGUAGCGUGAAGGACGACGGCCCUACGGGUUGUAAACUUCUUUUAUAAGGGAAUAAAGUUCGCCACGUGUGGUGUUUUGUAUGUACCUUAUGAAUAAGCAUCGGCUAAUUCCGUGCCAGCAGCCGCGGUAAUACGGAAGAUGCGAGCGUUAUCCGGAUUUAUUGGGUUUAAAGGGAGCGUAGGCGGGCUUUUAAGUCAGCGGUCAAAUGCCACGGCUCAACCGUGGCCAGCCGUUGAAACUGCAAGCCUUGAGUCUGCACAGGGCACAUGGAAUUCGUGGUGUAGCGGUGAAAUGCUUAGAUAUCACGAAGAACUCCGAUCGCGAAGGCAUUGUGCCGGGGCAGCACUGACGCUGAGGCUCGAAAGUGCGGGUAUCAAACAGGAUUAGAUACCCUGGUAGUCCGCACGGUAAACGAUGAAUGCUCGCUAUGGGCGAUACAAUGUCCGUGGCCAAGCGAAAGCGUUAAGCAUUCCACCUGGGGAGUACGCCGGCAACGGUGAAACUCAAAGGAAUUGACGGGGGCCCGCACAAGCGGAGGAACAUGUGGUUUAAUUCGAUGAUACGCGAGGAACCUUACCCGGGCUUGAAUUGCAGGUGCAUGAGUCAGAGACGGCUCUUUCCUUCGGGACUCCUGUGAAGGUGCUGCAUGGUUGUCGUCAGCUCGUGCCGUGAGGUGUCGGCUUAAGUGCCAUAACGAGCGCAACCCUUCUCCCCAGUUGCCAUCGGGUAAUGCCGGGCCCUCUGGGGACACUGCCAUCGUAAGAUGCGAGGAAGGUGGGGAUGACGUCAAAUCAGCACGGCCCUUACGUCCGGGGCCACACACGUGUUACAAUGGGGGGUACAGAGGGCCGCUGUCCGGUGACGGGUGGCCAAUCCCUAAAACCCCUCUCAGUUCGGACUGGAGUCUGCAACCCGACUCCACGAAGCUGGAUUCGCUAGUAAUCGCGCAUCAGCCAUGGCGCGGUGAAUACGUUCCCG
rnacentral:rRNA from 1 species